rnacentral:rRNA from 1 species
UGGGGAAUCUUGCGCAAUGCGCGAAAGCGUGACGCAGCAACGCCGCGUGGGGGAAGAAGGCCUUCGGGUUGUAAACCCCUUUCAGUUGGGACGAAGCUUCGUCGGUUAAUAGCCGGCUGGAGUGACGGUACCUUCACAAGAAGCCCCGGCUAACUACGUGCCAGCAGUCGCGGUAAUACGUAGGGGGCUAGCGUUGUCCGGAAUCAUUGGGCGUAAAGCGCGUGUAGGCGGCCCGGUAAGUCCGCUGUGAAAGUCGGGGGCUCAACCCUUGGAUGCCGGUGGAUACUGUCGGGCUAGAGUGCGGAAGAGGCGAGUGGAAUUCCUGGUGUAGCAGUGAAAUGCGCAGAUAUCAGGAGGAACACCAAUUGCGAAGGCAGCUCGCUGGGACGUGACUGACGCUGAGACGCGAAAGCGUGGGGAGCAAACAGG